AUUGAACGCUGGCGGCAUGCUUUACACAUGCAAGUCGAACGGUAACAGGGAGCUUGCUCCGCUGACGAGUGGCGAACGGGUGAGUAAUAUAUCGGAACGUACCCAAGAGUGGGGGAUAACGUAGCGAAAGUUACGCUAAUACCGCAUACGAUCUAUGGAUGAAAGCAGGGGACCUUCGGGCCUUGUGCUCCUGGAGCGGCCGAUAUCUGAUUAGCUAGUUGGUGAGGUAAAGGCUCACCAAAGCGACGAUCAGUAGCUGGUCUGAGAGGACGACCAGCCACACUGGAACUGAGACACGGUCCAGACUCCUACGGGAGGCAGCAGUGGGGAAUUUUGGACAAUGGGCGCAAGCCUGAUCCAGCAAUGCCGCGUGAGUGAAGAAGGCCUUCGGGUUGUAAAGCUCUUUUGUCAGGGAAGAAACGGCUGUGGCUAAUAUCCACGGCUAAUGACGGUACCUGAAGAAUAAGCACCGGCUAACUACGUG
rnacentral:rRNA from 1 species